UAAAUAUUUCCGUUCCAUGAAUGAGAGAAUAUUUCAAGAGUGUUACAGACAAAAGAUAACCUGAGCAUUAGUUCCCAUGUCUGGUGCAGGUAUAUCGGUAUGAGUUCCAAUAAGAUCAUGAAUCUUUUGAGUAAAGACACGAGUAAGACGUUCCAACUCGCUCAUACUCAAGUCCCUUGGGGUGCACCCAAUGCCACCCUUUGCACCACCAUAGGGAAUGUCAACUACAGCGGUCUUCCACGUCAUCAAUUGAGCCAGCGCAUUUACCUCAUCAGGAUCCACCUUUGAAAACAAAUGAAGAAACGUAUCAGUAAAACUAAAUGCAACCAGGUUUUUAUUUGCAAGAAAUCAAAGCAAACAAGUUUGAAGAUGAAAUAAUUCCUUCUAACUCAGCACCAACAAAAUUACGGGCGAACAACUUCUUGAAAGGAAAACAAAACAACUCAUUGAAUUUGAUUAUGCAAAUUGAGAACACACAAAUUAACAUAACAUCCAAAAUAGAAUUCAUCAUGCCACUCAUCAUUUAAAAUUCUAUAUCAAUAUCCAUAUCAUCCCAAAAAGAUUUUCGACUGUAUAAUAAUUAUCAGUUUUAUCGCAUAUUUCGGUUGGACCAUGUUUGCCAAAAUCAUUGAAAACAAUUUCCAAGAUUCAAAAAAAAAAAAAAAAAAUGCACAACCAACAUUUUGAUAUAGAAAUCUUGAACCUGAGAUUUCGAGAUAAUGAUCUUUGUACAAGAUACAAUAAGGGCAUGUUUGGAUCCAUCAUGAAAUGAAAUCAUUCCACUAUUCUUGCAUUUGAACAACUCCCUUUCCAUGGGACACCCAAAAACCACUUAGACAAAACCCAAAUCAACCGGAAAUUCCAAGAACCUAAAAGCAAACCCCCUAAACUCCGUUUGCUUGCCGAGAAAAUAGGGGGAAAAGACAAGAAAAAACAAACUACAAUCCUACAAUCCCGAAUCUCAUGUUCUGUGCUCCAAGAAAUUACAAAGUCAAGUAAGCCCCACAACAUACCUAGACUCUACUACCCUAACAAAAACAAAAAAUUUCAAAUCUCUCCUUUUCAUUCUCAACUUUUCUCAGCAAUCAAACAGGACAAAAUCCGAAAACAAACAAAAGAAUCAGUGAAUCACAAACCUAAGGGUGAUAUCUGAUCCCUCCCUUCAUGGGCCCACGAGCAUUAUCAUGCUGCACACGGAACCCCACAUACGUUGCCAAACUUCCAUCAUCCUUCGGGAUCGCGCACUCCACCUAACAACACCACCACCAAAAGAUCAAAAUUCUGGAAAAAAUUCUCAGGAAACAAACACAACCCAUGAACUCAAAAACAAGAUUCUGGCUAAAGAAAAUAAAUAAAUAAAUAAAUAAUUCCCGGGAAUCAAACAGAACCCAUGAACAAAAACCCCAGAAUUCCAACCUUGAUCUCUCUGAAAGAUAUCAGAAGACUCUUCUCCAGCUUGGAGUCCAACCCAAGAAUGCGGGAAGCAUGGCGAAAAUUGCGGUUAGUGGCUGCUAGAGCAUUCAUUGCCACAAAAACAAAACCCAGAAUAGAAAACGAUUGCUAGAAAAAGAAACAGACCCAGAAAAAAAAAAAAAAGAAAUGCAAGAAAAUGAAAGAAAAAAUUGGAGAAUUGAAGAGUAGAAAGAGAUUACAAUAGAAAUGUGAAUGAACUGACUGAUUGAUAGAAGUAGAGAGCAAGAGGGAGGGACCGGAGGAGGGCAGUUAAGGCGCUCAAGAUGGCAUGUCGGGCAGUUAAGGCGCUCCAGAUGGCAUGUUCAGGUUGUUACAAUCCCCUCUCGAUUAUGCAGAGCUGACUACACGUGCCCUUCCCGCUACCCAAAAUUACUAAAACACCCUUUUCCUUCCCAAACCUAUUUUCUAAUUUCUCUUUUCUAUUUUAAAAAUUAGAAGCUAAAAUGGAAAAUAAUCCUCACUUUAAAAAAUACCUUCAAUUUUUUUAAUUAUAAAUAUAAUAUUAAUUAAUUAUAAAAAAAUUAAUUUUUCAUUUAAAAAAGUGUCUUAAUAUAAAAAAAUAGAGGAUAUUUUAAGCCUCUAUAAAAUAUAUCUUAAUUUAAUUUUAAAUGGACAACAAACCCUUUUUAUUUUAUUUUAUAAAAUAAUGCUCUAUGAAAUAAAUGUGAAUUUAUUAGGGGGUAUUUCAUGCCCAGAAAAAAGUUAUUUUAAAAUUGAAUUUUUUUCAUUUAAAAAUUAUUUUAUUCAAUUUAAUCAAUUUUUUACUUUAACAAAGAUGGAAAAAGAGAGAGAUUAUUUUAGGAAAUAAAAAAUUGGGACCAUUUUGGUAAUUGUGUUUUAAAACGGUUUUGAAAAAUAGUUUUUAAGAACAGUUUUUAAAAAUCCUUUUUUGAUGUUUUGUAGAACAAAAGUCUGUUUUGAGAGCUUAAAAUGUUUAUAAUUUUUUUUAACCAAACUUUUAUUAGAACCAAACUUUUGUCCCAAUAGAAAAGAGACAAAAAAACAUACUAGAAUAAAUACCAGAUAUUAGAAUCACGGAUUUGUCAUUUUUCCUCAAAAAAUUUCAUUUUCCUCAUAAACUUCAACAAACGUUUGCAUCUUAAAGGGCUUUAAUCUUUGGAUGAUAACAAACCAUUUAUGCUAAAAUAGUCGUGAAGGACGUAAACAAAAGAGAAAACCAAAAGCAAUGGGGAAAAAAAAAUUCUGAAAACUGAGAUUCCGAGAUGGGAAAAAAAUAGGAAAGUGUAAAAAACUUUAUAUAAAACAAGCCAAAAAAAAGAUUGGGACCAACCUCAACCUUAAUGUUUUGUAACUCCAACAAUGUCUCUCUCACAGUGGUCCACUGGUGGGGCUAGGGUUUUGAAGAAAAAAAUUACAUAGAGAAUAAAACACGACAUGGGAAGUUGGGAAAGUAAACAAAAAUAGUAUAAAAAAUUAGGUUUUAUGUUUAUGUUGAUUGAUGGGGGCUAUUUUGAACAUUAGUUUUGGAAGAAACCCACUUUUAAUAGUAAGUUUACGAAGAAGCCCAUUUUGGCCCAAAACUCGCGAAUGGCUAUCUUAGCAAAAAAAAACUAAGUUUUGGGGCAAAAUAGCCCUUUCAUGUAAAGAAAUAUCAACUUUAGUCCCCUUAUAAAAUUUAUGUUCAAAUUAGCCAUUUUAUUGCCACAUAGAAGCCAUGUAAUAAUUUUUUUUUUUCCAAAUUUAAAUUGAAGCCUCAGUUGCCAAUUGAGGCUUCAGUUAUUUUAUUUUUUUUGCUUUAAAAUUUAAUUAAAAAUAUUAAAUUUUAAAUUAUUAUUGAAAUUUUAAAAAAAUAUACUUUAAUAAUAAAAAUUUACAUAUUUAAACUUAAAGAUCUAAUAUUACUUCAAUAAAGAUAAUUUGAUAAAUAUAAGAAAUAAAUAUUUUAUUUAUCAAUUAAUUAAUAAUCUUAAAAUAAUAAAUUUAUAUGACAUAUAAAUAAAAUAUAAAAUUAUAUAAUUUAUUAAUUUAAGUUAUAUCACAUGUAAUAUUAGGGAGGGACCUUUUUUUUCCAUUAUAUAAAUGUUUAAUGAGUUUUUUUUUUGUGACUUUGAUGAAACUACUAAAAAUUACAUUUUAUAGUAGUCUUUUUCUAAUUAAUUUUAUUAACUAAUUUCAAAAUGUAUCUUUAAGACAUAUAUAUUGUGUGCAUAAAUAAUAGUUUUUUUUUUACGUUAAAUUAUAAUAUAUGCUUUAAAAUAAUUAAAAAAAUCUAUAUAUGGAAACUUAAGAAUAUACUAAUAUUUCAAUAAAAAUAAAUUUAUAAAAAUACAAAUAAAUUAAUAUAUUAAAAAUACAACAAAUUAAAUAUCUUAAAUUAAUAAAUUAUAUAAUUUUAUAUCUUAUUUAGAUUUCAUAUAACUUUAUUAAUUUAUUGAUAAAUAAAAUAUUCAUUUAUUAUUAUAUUUAUUAAUUUAUCUUUAUUGAAGUAAUAUUACAUCUUUAAGUUUAAAUAUAUAAAUUUUUAUUAUUAAAAUAUAUUUUUUUAAUUUCAAUAAUAAUUUAUAAUUUAAUAUUUUUAAUUAAAUUUUAAAGUAAAAAUAAUAAUAAUAAUAAUAAUUAUAACUGAAGCCUCAAUUGCCAAUUGAGAAUUUAGUUAAAAAAUGAAGGCUCAAGGCUGAGACUUCAACUUAAAUUUUGAAAAAAAAAAAAUUAUGACAUGACUCUUAUGUGGCAAUAAAAGGGCUAAUUUGAACAUAAGUUUUGUAAGGGGGCUAAAACUGAUAUUUCUUUACACGAAAGGGCUAUUUUGCCCCAAAACUCAAAAAAGCUCACGUGUUUUGCCAUGUCUAUCCUGAUGACGUGGAUAUCUUAUUUUUAAAAUGGCAGUGUUGUCCCAAGUGGUUUCCUUUCUUUCUUUUUCUUUUUCUUUUUCUAAUAACCUUCCACGUUCACAGAUGAAAAGUUAUUGUUUAAUUAAAUAAUUUAAAUAGUUUAACUUUUAUUAAAUUUUAGCAAUACUUCUAGAAGUUUCUUCUUAAAAGUUUUAUAGAAAAUACAAGAGAAAAAAAAUAAAAACCCACCUUAAAUUUUUUUUUUUGUCAAAAUUAUUAUUUUAAAGUAAUAAUAAUAAUAUAAAAAAUAUCCAUUUAAAAAAGUAAAUUAAUACAUAAAUAUCAAAUAGAGCUUCUAAUUAAAAAUUAAGGAUGUGUUUGGUAAUUGUUUUCGAAAACAAUUUUGAAAAAUAGAUUUUUAGAACAGUUUUUGAAAGCUAUUCUCUGAUUUUUGUAGAACAACCCUGAAGUAUCUAGAGAUCUUGUACACUCAAGAUCUUCUGUUUGAUGACUUUAUCUCAAUCUUAGCACUUUAAAGGAUGGGUCUUUGGAAGAGAGGAUAGUAUGAUUCUCUUCUCUUUAGAGGUGGUUGAAACCCUAACCCUUAAGAGGUAUUUACAGGAUUCUCUAAUUAGGUUUAAGUGACUUAAACUCACUAAAGGCUUGGGUCACUUAAUUUAACCCAAAAUGGGUCCUAAUGAUUAAUUAACCUCACAAAGCCAUCUAAUUAAUUAAUUAAUUAUCUCAAUCCAGAGACUUGUUCACUAACCCAUUUGCAACCUCUCAUAAUUAUACCAAAGUGUUUUUAUGUACAAAAGUGAAUCUAGAGCUAAUCCAAUCCUCAUAAAUAGUGUCAUCAAGGUAUAUGAGUUCGAUGAGGAACCACUAGAGCCCAUAGGAAUACUAGCUUCCUCAAAAUCCAAUUUUGAAGUUGAUUCAAUACCCCAUUACAGAGAAUCAAUUACACUCCAAUACCCAAUAUAAAUAACAACGAGACAAAAACUCAGGUCUGUGACUUACUAUUUACUACAUGCAAACUGUCUAUGAACUAGUGUUCAUAAUAAAACAAGGUAGUGUUAUCACCUAUCAAGAUUACCUCUCCAAUAAUUGAGCCACAUAUCUCACUUAUUAUGCGAUUAAAUGACAUAUUGUAGUUUAUAAAAAGCUUAUGUCAAAUUCCACUUAAGGAAUUAUUGUGCGCCAUAGAUGUCCUAAUCGCAUGUCAUUUGGAUCACCCAAAGGAACACACUAUUACAAUCCCAUGAAAUAUCAUGGUGCCUCUAAUGAGCACACCUAUUACUUUCGGCUUCCAUCAAUAAUGACCCAAUCCAUGGGAAAUAUAUAAUCAACUCAUGAUUUCACUCGUAGGUCAAAGUCAUUACUAACUUUUACACAAGCUCAAUAUCUUUUCAAGGUUGAGAGUCCAUGCAGUAUAGUAGCUUGGUAAAUCAUGAUUAUCAAUAGUUUGCGUUAUGAUUUAUCAUAAGUCUUGUCUAAUGUGCAUCACAUACACUAGUGUUCUCACCAUGAAAAACUCAUCCCGAUGGCCAAGAUAAACUAUCUCUCUAAUUAGGAGGUGGUGUGCUACUACAAUCCAUGAACUAAUUGUGGACAACUUAUUUACUUACAAGAAACUCAUGAUUUGUAUCCUUUAUGUAACUUCUAGUGCACCUAAGUCAUGUACAAUAUAAGAAAUAUAGAUUGAAUGUUCUAAUCAAUGUCAACAUAUCCAAGGGAUAACAAUGGGAUAGUAAAAUCUAAUUUUGUUGUUGUUGGGAACUCUAAAUUACUCCAUUCCCAUGCCUUGGAUCGUAUAAGGUGCAUGCAAAUCUAUCAUAGGCUCUCUAAAUCUAUCACAACGGAUAAGCUUGUAUUCAAUAACAAUAUGGAUAUCAUAGAAAACAUACAUAUGGAGAAUAAAACCACAUACCUUUGAUCCAGAUAUUCCUAGAUCAAUUUCAAUCGAUGUAGAUAACUCUAAAGUCAUAAAGGGUCUCAUAAACACCAUGAUCUUCCUCCCGAUGACUCUUCCUUGUAUCUAGGCACUAAGAUAGUAGACAUCUCAAUGAUGGUUAUGGUUCUCUCUCCAGACUGAAGGGGAGAAUGGUAAGACUUAGAAACCCUAACCGUUAAAGGAGUAUUUAUAGACUUUUUAUUGGGUUUAAGUGACUUAAACCCACCAUGGGUUUGUGACACUUAAUUUAGCCUAAAAAGGUUGCUAAUUGAUUAAUUAACCAUAUAAAGCUUAAUUAAUCAAUUAGUUUAGUUCAAAGAUAUCACUAACUUAUCUCUUAUGCAACCUUACAUAAUUACCAAAACGCCCUUAUGCACAAAAAUGAACUAAAAACCCAUCCAACCAUCAUAAGUCGUACUAAUAAGGAAUAUGAGCUUAGAACGGGGACCAUUGGGACCUAUAGGAGUAUUGACUCCCUCAUAAUCAAAUUUUGAAAUUCACUCAACAUCCCAUUAUAGAGAGUUAAUUGUACUCUAAUAUCCUAAAUAUAUUACAACAAGACCUCAAGUGUUUUGGUUCGUGACCUACUAUCCACUGCAUACAGACUCCCCAUAAACUAGUAUCUAUAAUCUAAUAAGGUAGUGAUAUCACUUAUCAAGAUUACCUCUUAAAUCCUUGAGUUAUAGAUCCUAAUUAUUAUGUGAUUAGUUGACAUACUCUAACUCCAAGAUGCAUAUGUCAAAUUGCGUUAAAGGAAUUAUUGUGGCCAUAAAUUUCAUGAUCGCAUGUUCUUUGGAUCAUCUAAGGGAACACACUAUCUCAAUCCUAUGAGAUAUCAUUGUGUCUCUGUUGAGAAUACUUAUUGUCACCAACCUCCAUCAACAGUAACUCAAUCCAUAGGGAUAUUUGAUCACUUUAAGGUCUUACCCAUAAGUCAAAGCCUCUUAUUGAUUUUGACACAAACUCAAUAUCCUCUUCAAGUUGAGAGUCUAUGUAGUAUAAUAGCUUGGUGAAUCAUGACAAUUGAUAGUCUUGCGUCAUGAUUCACCAUAGGUCAUUUCCAAUGUGCAUCACAUACAUUAGUGCAUUCACCAGGAGAAACCUAUGACUUGCUGGAUUGCCCAAAUCCAUAGACCAACUAUGGACAACUUAUCUACUUACAAGGAACCCAUAACUUGUAUCUUCUGUGCAACUCUUAUUGCACCCAGGUCAUGUACAAUGUAAGAGACAUUGGUUGAAUGCUCAAAUUAAUAGCAAUACACCACAUGGAUAGCAAGGGGAUAGUUAAGUCUAACUUUGUUAUAUCAUGUCUUGCUUUUAAGGGCUAAAUCCUAACAAUUACAUCAUGUCUUGAUUUUAGGAACUCAAUUCCAACAAUAUACUAUCUCAACCCCAUGAUAUUAUGAUACCUUUAUUAAGAAUAUCUAUUACUAUAUGCUUAAACUACCAAUCACUAAAUCCAUAGGAAAUACAUGAUUAUAUUAGUAUCUCACUCGUAAGGUCAAAGUCGCUAAUGAAAAAACUAAUGCAACAUUCUCUUAAAGUUAAGAACUCAUGUAACAUAGUAGUUUGGAGAAGUUAUGUCAACCUGAUAGUCAUUCAAUCAUGACACUUCGUAGAACUUGUACAAUGUAACCAUACACACUAGUACAUAUACCAUGAGAAAACCCAUCUCGAUGACCAAGACUAGUGAUCCUACCAUUUUGGAGGUAAUGAAUUAUGGCUUCUAAGUUGUUAAAGUUUAUGAAUAUCAUCUUGUAAAGAACCCAUGACUUGGAUCUUCCAUACAACUCCUAGUGUAUUCAAGUCAUAUAAAAUAUAAAUGAUAUUGAACUAAAUGCUCGAACAAGUAAAUAAUCAAAUAGAUAAUGCAAAUAAGAUAGAAAAAUUAAUGCCAUAUAAAAUAAUGAAUCAAGUUUGCUAAAUCAUAUCUCUACUUUGAAGAGCUCUAUCCUAAUAGAUACACUAUUCACACCUAGGUAUGAACUUCUAACAAUUGAAUUUCAUGGUAUCAACACGUUAGAGUUGAGAAGGGUUUCAUGUGGAAGGACAUAUGGAGUGUGAAUGCUCUUGUUUUAUCUUAGUUGAUGUAGUGAAAGAUUACCUUUUGAUAUAUGCUUGCUUGGAUUUUUGGUCCAUCUCUAUCAAUGUGUGCUUUUCUGGAUUAGGAUGAUCACUUCUAUUCUUUUUUAUGUAAGUGUCCUAAUAAGGUUACUGAUUUUUAGCAAGGAAAUCCUUUCCAUUGCCUUAGGUUUUGCUUUCCUUAUUCCAUUUGCUUUUGGUGAUGCUAAGAAAACUAAUUACUCAUUCUCUAAUUAAUCCAACUAGAAUAAGAUAACCGGAUUUGUGUUUCACAUAGAAGAUGCUAUGUUACCAUCUACAGAAGGAUAAGGAUCCUCUGAAAAAGUCAUAUAGGAGAUAUGUAUCACUUGAUAACCCUUGGACUUUGUAAAAGGCAAUAAAAGGGGGGUUAGACAACAACAUAGGAUAAAAGAUUAAAAAAACAAAAAACAAAACAAAAGAGGAUAGAUGGGAGGGGAACAUUGUCUUACCUUAAUAACCCUCCUCCAAAGGCAUAAGGGGAAGGUUGUCCUUACUUAACGACCUUCUUAACCUCUUGUAGCUAGGAGACAUCCUUAUUCUCUCAUAUUUUUUUAAGAGCCAAGGAUCUCCAAGACAUCACACCCACCAUUUCCAUUGAGGAAAAUGUAUUAGGUUUUAAGUCUCUUGACCUAGUAGAAGAUAAGAAACUUCUCUAAAUCCACAUGGUAGCUUGGAGUCAUGUUCAUGACCACGACUGUCAUGAGAAGACUCACAAUAUCAGGAUUGAAUUGAUACAACAACACUCUCACAAAACUAAAGAAAAAAUACCUCACUAACGUUUGAAGCAGUAGCCAUAAUCCAAACUUCAAAUGCUCUAUUGGAAUGUAUCUCUUGACAACAUAUGGAGGCUAGAUUAAUUCCUCUGGAAACAACCAUAAAAACUUCACGGAGAAAAGGAUUUCUAAUUGUUGGUUUAACAUAAUAACAUCUCUAAAGGGAGUCAUAGGUGCUAUCUUGAAGACAAAAAAAAGUUAGAUAAAAUGGAGAAAAGUUGCAAGGAUAAAGGAAUAAGGGUAGAAGAAGGCAAGAAAGCAAAAUCACAAAAGUAGAAGAAGAAAAUCAAUAGAGAAACACCUUUUAUAUAGGUUGCCAAGUCAUAACCACUCCAAGAAUCAAGGCAAACACCCUUAUCAUGGCUUGCCUACUAAUCUCUUGGAAAAAGAAUCCAUUUGUCACAUUGACUUUUGAUUUUCCUGCAUGUUAAAUCCUAAAAGCAAGGAAAUAGGAGGUGAGAAGUUGUAGGAAAAAAAAAAUGAAAUGUGGAAACAAAAGGCAUAAGUGGCUAGUUAUCAGCAGAGGUAAUCGGGGGUGCCUAUUGAGUGGUGAAUUGGUCUAUAUCCUUGUACCAUCCAUCCUUAACAAGAAAGAUCUCUAACUCUUAGGAGCAUUUAAUGUGAUGUGAUAGAUAUUAAAUAUGAUUGGAUGAUACUCUCAUGGUUACAAAAUGUUUAAGGCCACACCCUAAACCGAGAAAUCUCUAAUCAUUAUCUAAUAUUGAGGUAUGGACAUUUAAGCACCGAUCAACCAUCGACAUGGUAACCACUCUUAACUAACUUAAACCCUUCCUUUAAAUACCUCUAAAGGCAUCAACAAUAAAGGUAGAAAAGAACCAUUCCAUUUCUCCCUUUGAUUUCUACUUAUCAUAACCUUGUUUUUUUCGGUGCACCAUAUGAUCGUUCGAGGUGUAGUGGUCAUUUUGCACCUACCCGCCCUUACCCCCACCUUGACUACCUUUUGUCCAUCCAUUAUAGUAGCAAGUCGACCUAGUAAUUCCUUUAACAAAUGUCUUCUUCAUUAAGGCAAUAAAGAGGAUACAACAAUAUCUAAUAUCAUUUAACCAAUAUUUUUACCUUAGAUAUAUGUAUCAUUUAAUUUUCAUUAUGGAGUCCAACAAGACUAUGUAUGCUAAAAAGAUUAGCAUGUUUGAUUGACUUGUUAGCACGAGUUAGGAUAAAAGAAGAGAUAACAUAUUAUAUCUUAUGUUCGGUUAACAAUGAGAUAUGAUAAGUUAUAUUCAACUUCAUUUUUUUGUAUCCUCUUUAAAUGAGAUAUAGUAAUUCCUAAGUUGAAAUAUGAAAUAUACAUAUUCCAUGGAUCAUAAGUUUUUUUUCUUUCAUCCAUUUUUUUUUCAUUUUUUAAAAGUAAAAUAUUUUGUAAAAUAAAAAAAAAAUGACUAAAAAAAUUAAAAUUUUAGUUUGGACAAAAAGAAUUUAAAAAAUACAUGUAGAAUAUUUUACUUAUAAGUUUUAAAUAUUUUAAUCAUAAAUAUUAUUAACAAAGAAAUAAAAUUUACUUAAUAAAUUAUAAACUUUAGAAAGAUUUCCAAAUGAUACCAAACAUGUUAGAAAUUUCAUAUAUUUUUUUCAAAGUAGCAAAGAUUGUUAUGAAAAACAUUUUUUAUUUUGAAAAACAAUUAAAACAUUGAAAUUUCAUUCUGUUGUUUAAUCCUUUUUUAAACCAAAUAAGAGAUCAAUCUAAUAUAUCUCAUCUAAUAUAAUAUCGUUUUUUUCUUCACAUAGGGUUUCUUUUCUUUCUUUGUUGAGAAGCUCCUCAUUGUGAAGUCCUGAUCAAUCCCUCAUUUUGCCAAGACUCCAAGACUUGUUAAGAAAGAAAACAGAGCUCAAAAGAAAUUAACUCAAAAUCUCACAUCACAUUGUUGAUAAUAUCAAGUGUUUUUUUUUUUUCAUUGAAAUGAUGAAUUUCAAAUGUUUACAACACCCAUCAAUGUGUGGGGGAGAAGUUCAUGAUUGACAAAGAAAAAUAAUGAGACUUUGAUGGAAGGUAAUGACCGAAACCAAUCUGCUUCUUCAGCUGUAACAAGGGAACAUAUCCAAAGAAGAUGAAUAAGAACCAACCUAAGCUUCCCAACCCCUUAGCGUUGUGGCACACGCAACUCGAUUCACUGCCAAUGUGAAGGCUCCCAUUCGAAGACUGCAGUUGUGCGAUUGACACAUUGCCUUAAUGUUAUGAAAAGCUUUGGUCAUGUACUUCUGAAGCUCAUUAUUCACCUUCUCUUCUUCCCACAUAAAACCUUGAAUAUUCUGCCAACAUAAAACCAUUAAUCCUAAGAUGUUACUACUACUUUUCCUAUCAAUUAUCUAUGUUUCAAACGAUAUAAUUCAUUGUAAAAUCCAUCAUAUAUAAGAAAUAUAGAGGGAAUUACCUGAACCCACUCAAAAUAGCUCACAGUCACACCUCCAGCAUUAGCAUAGAUGUCGGGAAGGAUUACAACUCCCUUCUUGGAUAGAAUCUGCAGAGACAAUAUAUCAUCAAUGCCAACUUCUUUCCUCUAUGGCAUUUAAGUAUGCACCAUAAACACUAUGUUACCUCAUCAGCUUCUGGAUCAGUAGGAUGAUUUGCUGCUUCUAUUAUGAACUUUGCCUUAACAUCCGCAGCAUUUUCUCUUCAGAGGGGAAAAAACAUGAAUGAGGUUAGAUGAAAUCAUCUGGAUGAGUUAGGUUAAAGGAAGUAAAAUCAUGCCCUUUUCCACUUUUUACCAUCAAAAGAUUUGUGGUUUCUAACCUGAAAAACGAUUGGAUAUUCACUUAAUAACUAAAUACAGCACAAGCACAUUUCAUGAAACUUCUGCCCACAAUAAAAGGGUAACAGAACACAUGUAACAUCUUUACCUAAACAUUGGCAAUUCAUCGUAUGGCAAUUUGAUACAAUUGCAGCAUUCUGAUUCGAUCUUUCAGAUUCAACAUAGUAUCUCAAACAGAGUUGCAUCAUGUUUCUUCAUGGUAUUGAGAUGUGUCUACUUCAUUUUAUGUGUAUGUUCAUUGUUUUUAUGAUCUUAAUGUAUGGAAAAGACAAGUUUCUCAAUUCAAAAAAGGCAUAUGUCAAAAGAAACCCAAAACAAAAAAGGCACCAAGUAAAGAAUGAAACUGAAAGGCAAGGACCAAGUUUCUGAGGAAAACAAGGACUCAACUUGUUAAGAACUCCACCUAGAGCACAUGGGAUGAGAACAUCACAUUCAUGUGUGAGCAGUUCAUUCGGAUCCAUGUGAUCUCCGCCACUGAAAUUCGUUAGACAACCAGUCUCUUCUUUGUGCCUAAGCAAAUCCACUAUAUCAAGCCCAUUUUGGUUCUUAACAGCUCCAGUGACGUCGCUCACCGCUAUGAUUUUACCACCUCUCUCACCGAUGAGUCUUGCUACCCAAGAUCCAACAUUGCCAAAACCCUGAAAAGUUUUUUUAUUUUCCAUUUAAAUAACCCAACUUUCUAAGCAUCAAGAACAGAAAUAGAAAGGAUUUAAUCCAAUAUUUUACCUGAAUAACAAAUGUCAAACCCUUGAUUGACUUCCCAUGUUGCGCAAGUAAAGCUUCAGUUGCGAAAACAACACCUCGACCAGUUGCAGCCUCCCUACCGAGGGAUCCACCAAGAGCCUAAAAGCCCAAAUGUAAAUGAGUCCAAAGAACAAGAAACAACAGUUACAAAUUUUGUUUCUCGACUUCAAAGGUUUACACAAAUCUAAAUCAUAGAUGCUCGGUUUUUUGUCGCAAAUACUUACUAUUGGCUUUCCAGUCACUACGGCCGGUGAGUGACCAUGGAAUUUUGAGUACUCGUCCAAAAUCCAUGCCAUAGUCUGCCCAUAUUUAUAAAUAUUUCAGCUUCAUGAAUGAGAGAAUAUUUCAAGAGUGUUACAGACAAAAGAUAACCUGAGCAUUAGUUCCCAUGUCCGGUGCAGGUACAUCAGUAUGAGUUCCAAUAAGAUCAUGAAUCUUUUGAGUAAAGACACGAGUGAGACGUUCCAACUCGCUCAUACUCAAGUCCUUUGGGGUGCACCCAAUGCCACCCUUUGCACCACCAUAGGGAAUGUCGACUACGGCGGUCUUCCAUGUCAUC
rnacentral:lncRNA from 1 species